GCCAAAUGUGAUGAUACACACAUGUAAUCCCCAGUUCUUCCUGAGAGGUUGAGGCUGGUGGAUUGCUUGAGCUCAGGAGUUCUGAGUUGCAGUGGGCUAAUAUGAUGGGGUAUUCACACUAAGUCUGGAACCAAUAUACUGAGGCCUUAGGAGCUGCCUAAGGAGGGGUGAAUCAGCUCAGGUCAGAAACACAAUAGGUCAAAACUCAUUUGAUUGUCAGUAGUGAGAUUGGACCUAUAAGUGACCACUGCAUUUCCAGCCUGUGUGAAAAGGAGAACCCGUCUCAA
rnacentral:SRP_RNA from 1 species